CCUAGUCCACCGGAGCCCUCGGCCCCCUCCUCAUUUUGCCAGAGUUCGCCUCGGCCGCCGUGGUUCCUCCUUGGUUUCGGCGAGCUCGAGCGUCCUCUCCUCCUCUGGUGUUGUCCAAGAGCUCCCCCACCUCCUCACGGUUCGCCCCACCCCCUUUUCCCCUCGCCGGAGUGCCCGCAGUGCCGUCAACCUCCGCCUCCCGAAGCUUCCUGUCCUCCUCAUGGCGCCGCCCCUCCCCUCCGUUCCACCCCUUCCCGGUGCCCCAUUUGCCUCUGGAUGGGUUCUCCCGGCCUCCCCGAAUCUUCCGGUGGCCUCUCCUAGGACAAUGGUGGCCGGAGCCGGCCGGACCACCACCGCCCCGCCCGCCUCUGUUGCUUCCUGCCGUCGCGCCUCGCCACCCCUACACUCCUCCCCGGCGCUCCCUAUGCCCUGGGAUGGAGGUGGAGCAUUCCCCCGAACCCGCCGGAAGCCUCCGCCAGGCAGGAGCUGGCCGGAGUCAGCCGCCCCGUCGCCGGCUUCGCCCUGCUCCCGCUCCUCUGUUCUGCUGCUGCGUGGGCACGCGAGGAAGAAGACAGGAGCGAGGGAGGAGAGAGAUGGAUAAGGCGGGCCCCGCUGGUCAGCCUCUCAGGCGUUAACCACGCGUAGGCCCAGGUCCCUGAUCUUCAUCACCUUAUAUCUCCGCAACCGUAACUCCAAAUGAGCCCCCUCUGAGAGAGAAUGAUUUCCGGCGAUUCGUUCCACGAGCUUCUCACACUUCUCCCCGGUGAUUUCUUCCACCCCAG